rnacentral:rRNA from 1 species
AUUCUAGAGCUAAUACAUGCUGUAAAGCCCGACUUUUCGGAAGGGCCGUAUUUAUUAGAUAACAGACCAAUAUUCCUCGUGUCUAUUGUGGUGAAUCAUAGUAACUAAUCGGAUCGCAUGGGCUAGUCCCGCGACAAACCAUUCAAGUUUCUGCCCCAUCAGCUUUCGAUGGUAGUGUAUUGGACUACCAUGGCUUUUACGGGUAACGGAGGAUUAGGGUUCGAUUCCGGAGAGGGAGCCUGAGAAACGGCUACCACAUCUAAGGAAGGCAGCAGGCGCGUAAAUUACCCAAUUCUAAUUCAGAGAGGUAGUG